GAGGGGAUAGCUCAGUGACAGAGCAUGUGCUUAGCAUGAACGAGGUCCUAGGUUCAAUCUCCAGUUCCUUCA
rnacentral:tRNA from 1 species